ACAUAUUAAGUUGGGAUAAAUUUGAAAGAAGAUAAACUAAAUAAAAAGCUCACGCUUCAGGGAUUGACGUUGCGGUUGGAGCGUUGCGUCCAAUUAUUUUGGAGCCCAGCGUGUGGCAGUGAAGCGCAGCGCAGCGAAGGCAUCCAAGUUGGCAUCCGAAAUUUAAAACCCACAUCUGAAGCUUUUAUAGGCAUUUCGUAGAGAGAGAAGUUAUAUUAUUUGGGACUUUGUCUUGAGGUUUAGAGAGAAGGAGGAGCUCUCUACCAUUAAUAUAUCUUUAAGAUUAUUGAAGAAUAUCUCAAGAACUCAAAUCUUCAAAGUUCUACGAUUUGACAAAAAGCGGUUCAUGACUCGUACUAGGCAUGUGGAGCUUAAGCCUUUCGGCCAUAUUUCUAUUUCUGUUUUGAGGAACUGGACCUUAGCAGCUUGAACCGCGUGGAUAGGAUAGCUCAACAUUAUCUGUUGACAUUUUUUUGUGAGACUCCACACUUGUAAUCGUAGAGGACUUUAUUGUAUUAUUAUUCAUUUGAGCCAUUGGGUUUUGCCUUAGUUGACUAUUUCAUUCCUUGUCAUAGAGAUUCCAUAGACAAUAGUAGUAUUCAUUUUUGGGUUGUAAAUCCUAUGGUUACUCAUAUGGCAUGCAUGAAUGAAACUUUCUUUUAUCGUAAUAAAGUUUUCUUUCAAAG